rnacentral:rRNA from 1 species
CCUACGGGUGGCAGCAGUGGGGAAUAUUGCACAAUGGGGGAAACCCUGAUGCAUCGACACCGCGUGAGUGAUGACGGACUUCGGGUUGUAAAGCUCUAUCAUCAGGGACGAAAAUGACGGUACCUGAGUAAGAAGCCACGGCUAACUACGUGCCAGCAGCCGCGGUAAUACGUAGGGGGCGAGCGUUAUCCGGAUUUACUGGGUGGAAAGGGAGCGUAGGCGGACGUGUAAGUGCGGGGUGAAAUGCCCGGGCUUAACCUGCGGGCUGCUUUGGAAACUGGAAAGCUAGAGUGCAGGAGAGGAGAAUGGAAUUCCUAGUGUAGCGGUGAAAUGCGUAGAGAUUAGGAAGAACACCAGUGGCGAAGGCGACUCACUGGACUGUAACUGACGCUGAGGCUCGAAAGCGUGGGGAGCAAACAGGAUUAGAUACCCCAGUAGUC